CAGAGAACUCUUACUAGGCCAGUGUGUCACAGACAGGAGAUUACAGCUGCACGGACAUAUUUGGAAACUUGUUCUAUAACAAGUCUGGAUCACGUUGUGUAACUAAGGUACAAUUACAUAGCCUGUAAUAUCUAUCAUCUGAAAACCCCCCCUCAAGGAGUUAAAAAGUGGUCAGGCAGCAGAAAUCACAGCUGCUAAAGGAGACGUCAUCAGACCGUCCUAUACACUGCCCUUCCAUCACAGCGGCACAUUCAUCCUCUCAGGAAUGCUCACAAAAUGGAGGUAAGCCAUGAUUUAUUUGACUUUUAAUAUUUCAGGUCCUCCAAAAUUGCCAAUUCAAACAAAUGACCAUUUUUAUUUUCCUUUUUGUGUAAACAAUAACUUUUGGCACCAUGGUCAACAUUCAUACAUACAGCAGCUAAAAGAAACCCAAAAAAAGCACAGCAUUAAAGUACUAGUACUAAAAAAAAAAACAGAACACUAACAGUUACCUCACAGGUGUGAAGCUCACAGCCUGGCCAAAGCCUGGGAGCUAAGCCUGCCAACGACAAGUAGGCUACAUACCCCCCCCAUCCAUCACAUGUGCCCAUCCAUGUCCUUCAAGACAUUACAGGUAUUACUUACGUGUCCAUGGUGCAACUCGGCUACAGACUGAACCCACAACCUUCCCGUUUUAAGAUGAGAUUUAUGACCAGCUGAUAGACAACUAGCCUAUAUCAGGCAACAUGUUAAUAUGUUGAUAAAUUUGUGACAGGGAAAUGAAUAGUCUACUUGUUGAAUAUUUCUCAUGCCUCUUAGUUUGACUUAGCAUAGGUUAGGUCAGAGAGCAAUAUUUACUGUGUGAACAGGAUUUAAUGUGUUCAUGGCUACGAAUAACUCUUACAAAAUUAGCAUGUGUUUUGUAGUUGUAGCUGUAUGCACUUACUGUACGUUGCUUUGGAUAAAAGCGUCAGCCAAAUAAAGGCAAUGUACUUAAAAUGUAACGCACAACGUUGCAAACAGAAAGUACAGCCAUUUUAAUCCAACAUAUGCCACUAAAGAAGCAUCCAACAUUGAACAUAAUAUAAUCCACAAAAACCUGUUUUUGUUUGGGUAACUUGAAUCUUAUCUUCUCACAGAAAACAUCACAAAUGCCAGUAAGUAGGUAGCCUACAUAUGUACAGUAUGUCUGUACUGUCAAUUUACUAUGAAAGACCCUAACCUCACCGAGAAAAAUGUAAUAGCCCUACUAAAACCAAGAGGAAAGAGUGAGCUUUAUCAACAUAAUCUGCCUAUUGAUCUAAAAAAUCAAUUGGUUACAAGGACCAGAAAUCAUGCAGGCAAGACGCAAACUUCCACAAGGUGCUCAUCUAAAAUAGAGAGCUUGAGACCUAUGUGACAGGACAGAUGCUGUCCCUGUAACUAAAAGCACGCUGUGGUCCUGUCAAAGUGUCCAUUCCUUUGCGGCCACCUUCCUGUGCUCCACAUCCACCACGCUGCCCUCUCCUCUCUACAGCACCGUUCACCGGGGACCAGACCCGACCGGGACACUGACCCGGGACGCUGACCCGGGACGCCGACCGGGACGCCGAACGGAGCAGCUGACCAACGCCACCUACCUGAGAAGGACUCGGACUCGUCCAGCAGCAGCAUGGCUCGGGGGGGGGGGGGCUGCCCAAUUCUCUGCUCUGCUCCACCCGGGACCGCUCUCACCACGGCGGGAGUUGACGUGCCCAGAUAGCCGGUCCUCGGCGCUGAGCGGCUCGCCUCUGCGUUAGGUUCUCAAGCGUGCUCAGACUCUCUCUCUCUCUCGUUCUCUCUCCGCGCUCGCUGCUCUGUACUGUGCGCUGCUCAGCUGCUAACCGGCUCGCUGACUGACUGACUGACUGGCUGAGUGUGGUGCUGAACACCGCGCUCUCAUUCACUGAAUGUGGUCCAAGUGCUGAUUAAGUAAAGCCAGUGGGUAGAGACCAGGAACUAAACAGAACUCCUUACAUAACCAUUCACGCUCUGACAGGGGCCCCGCCAGGGGGGUUUCUGAAUGGCCAGAGCUGCGGAUCCCUCUGCAACGCCGGCUCUCUCCCUCUUUCAUAACGGCCACGAAGGGGAGUGUAUCAACACCGCACAACCUCAGCAGGCAAAGUCUGAGUUUACGUGCGCAGGUGGCAUCGAGCACAAGCAUUUCAACCUCCUUUCACAUUUUUACAUUUCAAAUCUGCUUGAAUUGGCUGCUUUCAGGUGUUAGUGUGCUGUGUUGAGCAGUAUGCUGGUUACACAACCAAUUCUGCAUAAAGGCUACAACAACAGGAAAAACAAAUAACCUGAAUUCACAUGAUCCAGAGAGCUAUACACUUCUGGAGUACAGUUAACAAGAAAGUUGUACUAAGAAAGAACAGACUUGUAAAAGACAGAACAGAAGAAUAAUUUAGUCUGAGAUACUGCAGUUUUUAGCCACAGAGCACAAAAAAGACCCUGCAAGGUAAAUACACACAUCUGCCCUCACCAGCCCCAGCACUUUGCCUCACACACUGCUCAGACCUCAAUCGCCACUGCGAUGCGCUCAGCGCUCAGCGCAACUCAUCAUGUACUUACACAUGGCCCUGACGUUAAGGGAUCUGUGGCUGCUCAUUUCUGUCACCUUGACCAGAGAGGUUCAGCGAACAUCAUUCCAGCGUUGUGGGUGGCAGCCCCCAGGAGUCGACAGCCAGUCUGAAAGCUCAGUCCUGUGCGUAAUCUAGCUACCCCGAGGCACUGAGAGACAAUUACAAAACAAAGAAUUUCCAGAAGAGCGACCGUCGCUGCCGACCGUCGCGCCAGCCCUGCCGGGGCCCUCUUUCUGGAAAAGCUCCCCCCACUGGCGUCAUCGUCACACGCGCAUCCCCCUCCCCUCCCUGAGUGUCACUGGCAGGCCUCUCCCCUUUCAGCGGGGCUGCCUUAGGUAACCGGGUGACAGAGUUCAAAAGCUGACUGAGGCCUGCUCCACAAUGGAGGAAACCCAUAUUCAAAACACAAAGAUUACCGAGCUCACUUACACAAACAAAGACUGACUGCGCUGUAAGCCAUAUCUUAGAAACAGUGUGAACAGGAUGGGGGGGGUGUAAGGGAGAAAGUGAGAUGCUUGAGAGGUUUGGGGGGGGAGAGAGAGAUACUGUACAAGUGAACAAUGUGCUGGCUGCUCACAGGUUUAUGUACGCUUGGCUUUAGACACUGCUGCGAUACCAGCAGCAGGCUCUUUCUGCAGAAGGCAGAGCAGGGCAUCCAAUCCUGCUGCAGAUGCUCUGGACUUUUCAGUUCAACUCCGACACACUUACAGAGUUUACAAGGACAUGCCUGACAAACGUGCUCAUUUCUUUCAGAAUGCACUCGCUGUUUAUACAAAGUGUUUGUCACUCAAAUGGGAGGGCAAAGGAAUGGUGAGCAAAAAUGACAAAUAUGAAAUCCCAUUGAAGAAAAUCUUUUGGUAUACUGUAAGCCUGCCAGUGCAAAUAAAGUAAUACUUCAAUGGUUCAUUGUUUGGCAGGCUAAUAUGUUUUUUAUAUGCAAAAUGAAUGUCUUUUCAUGCUGAAACAACCGUAGGAAAAUGUAUCAUACUUAACUUUCAAUUUUGUCAAAAUUAAUUGGCAAAACAGCUUCAGGCAUGAGAUCAUCUUUUCAAUGGGAUUUCGUAGUCCCCUUAACACGGUCCAGCAUACUGCUAAAGGCAAUUAUUGGAUCCUUUGUGCACACCUUGCUUAAGCAUAAAAAAGUGUUGUAGUAAGCGGUGUCUUUUUUCAUUUAUUUGAAUUUUUGUGAUUCAACACCCAGUAUUUCUCAUAAUGUUUUGUGCUGAGCACAUUUCAUGCUACUAUUAUUCUGUAUACGAAAAACGCAUAGGGGGAAAAAUAUAUUUUUGGUGCAUCAGGCUCAGUCAUUAAUGAGGGAAAUGAGUUCUCUGAGGACCAACGGUGCUCAAAUCUACAGCAAACUUCAGCAGAACAGCGGCUGCCGUGUGUGGCACAGUUGUGGUGCGUGGCUGUGUGGCACGACGGCAGCCUGUAGCCGGCAGCCCUGCUGCGCUCGUAACAUAGCUCAAGGUAGGCCUCAGCUGGCGGGACUGUUUGUGCUUCACUGUGCACCAGGGCGGUCAAUCCACCCGCAUCAGCUGCACAUGAAGCAUACUCCUCCAAUGCAGUGUGCAGUCUGAGCUAGCGUGAAGGGAGUGUUUAGGCUGAGGUGGUCAACAGGUUGCGUUCAGGCUGAGCUAGCGUGUAGGGAGUGUUCAGGCUGAGCUAGCCUACAGUGGAGUGAAACAGGCGCAGUUGAUAAUGAACUUGACAGCAAAGAAGAAACAACUUGGAAACCAAACUGAACUUGUGAAACAAAAUGUGAAAACAUGAAGAAAAAUCACGGUGAAAAUUGGUUAAUAAAAAAAAAAAAAAAUCAGUUUAUAAACAAUAAAAAAAGGUGCUGACAGAAGGGAUCAAGUUAAUGGCAGUUUAAACCAAAGGCACUCAUAGCCAUCACAGGCACAACACUGAUACACACUACAAGCUCUUUCACUGAGGGCACCGUAUCAAAUGCAAUUUCACUGGUGACUGAUUCAGACAAACAUCCAUUUUAAAUGAAGCACAACAGGUGAGCUCCAGGAACAGAGAACACUGUGUGCUCUUCGAAUGGCCUGGUACUCUCUGCCCACUUGUCAGCUCCCUCCAACUGCUCUGGAAUUGGAGCACUGUGCCCUAUCCCUGGCCAACCCGUUAUUCAAUCGGCCUGCCACGUUUCCAAGUCUGCUCCGGCUCGCUGCUGCCCCAUGCUCAGGUUACACAGGGGGCUGUGUUCAGCCGCACCAGGCUGUGCCGGUUAGCGGCGCUGAGGGGGAGAUGCCUCGGACCAGGGGCCUCAUUCGCGAAACGUGUGUACGAUCACAUUUGAACAUAAACGUAAGAACGUUUCAAAGAAUAUUCCGCCAUUCAUUAUUUUUUUCUCAUCUGUAUUUGUUCACGGCUGUUUCCUUAUGCCAAUCACAUGAACAGGAUUUCACAUAAAAUGUAUUAGCAGUCAGCAUUCAUCAUCUCAUACAGCUGGGAUGUGCACUAAAACAAAGGUCUGCACAUGCGUCAUGAAUCUCAGGUUGUUUUUUUUCAUAGGACAAAAGUAAGAAUAAUUUUAGAUUUAAGGUUUUGUGAAUGAGGCCUGCCGCUCUGGCCCCACUGGCUGCCCUCUGGAGCUUGCGGCGCUCAGUGACAGAUGAUGCGUCGGUGGCGUCCGGGGAAAGACGCAGGAAGGAGGGGAAAGACGCAGGAAGGAGGGGAAAGACACAGGAAGGAGGGGAAAUCCGACGGGAGAAAGCGCCCUCAAACUGCAUGCGAAACGUAGCCGCAGGCUCGUGCUGUAGGGGGAUUCGAUCCUGACGUACACAACAGCCAGGACGGCUCAAUCCCCAAGUUCUUCCAGUCAGGAAAAAAUGGAAUAAACACACGCUUGAAAUGGGCUCGAAAAUUAUGUUAAUCUCUGGAAAGACUGAAGAGGCAUGUGGAAAUGAAUCCCAGUGUAAAUAUUUGGGUGGAAAAGAGCACACACCAGUUAGCUGGCCCUCACAUGGCUGACUGUGAAAGCAGGAUGGGCCCAUGGAACAAUCCAAAUUCUUGUAAAUAAAAAAAUAUUUUAUCUUACUAUUUCCCCCCCAUUGAAUCUCAAUUUGUUGUCACAUGGUAUUGAUUGACAGUUCAUGCCUGUCACAUGUGAUGGAUGGAUUUCUCAUUCCUGUCCAGAAUCUACAAAUACAUCCUCUCGAUCCAUUCUUUGUUUACACCCUGAUGAAGACUCAGCAAGGUCAAAACCGGUCAGUUUUUGUAACUAAAUAUCAGCAGAUAUGCAGCCAUAACAAAGGCUUUCAAAAUA